rnacentral:rRNA from 1 species
GGAUUAGAUACCCUGGUAGUCCACGCCGUAAACGAUGAUAACUCGCUGUUGGCGAUACACGGUCAGCGGCCAAGCGAAAGCGUUAAGUUAUCCACCUGGGGAGUACGCCGGCAACGGUGAAACUCAAAGGAAUUGACGGGGGCCCGCACAAGCGGUGGAGCAUGUGGUUUAAUUCGAUGAUACGCGAGGAACCUUACCAGGGUUUAAAUGCAGAGUGACGUACUGGGAAACCGGUAUUUCUUCGGACACUUUGCAAGGUGCUGCAUGGUUGUCGUCAGCUCGUGCCG